AUGGAUCCUGAAGUCACCCAGACCCCGUGCCACCUGAUCACAGGCACAGGACAGGACAUGAUCCUGAGAUGUAAUCCUUUCACCGACCAUGAUAGCCUGUUCUGGUUCAAACAAAAUUCAGACCAGGGUUUACAGAUGCUAUUUAACUAUCAUUACAAUAAGAAGAGUGAACAAGGAACCUCUACCACCAAUCGUUUCAUGGUGGAUCUUUCAGUCCCCUCUCAAUUUAACCUGCGUAUCCAGCUCUGUGAACCUGAGGACUCAGCUCUGUAUUUCUGUGCCAGCCGCAAGGUCACAGCGCUACAGAGCCAUCUCUUCCCUGUGCACAAACUUCACACCCUCACACAGGAAACAGUGGGAGAGGCUCAGCUGCCUGCAGGCAGAUUUCUCAUCCUCUGCCUUAUUCAGGACCUCCUUAAUGAAGAAUGUGCUUUUCUCUCUCACCGAAUACAGUGA